GUGAACGCUGGCGGUAGGCCUAACACAUGCAAGUCGAACGGCAGCACAGUAAGAGCUUGCUCUUACGGGUGGCGAGUGGCGGACGGGUGAGGAAUACAUCGGAAUCUACUUUUUCGUGGGGGAUAACGUAGGGAAACUUACGCUAAUACCGCAUACGACCUACGGGUGAAAGCAGGGGAUCUUCGGACCUUGCGCGAUUGAAUGAGCCGAUGUCGGAUUAGCUAGUUGGCGGGGUAAAGGCCCACCAAGGCGACGAUCCGUAGCUGGUCUGAGAGGAUGAUCAGCCACACUGGAACUGAGACACGGUCCAUACUCCUACGGGAGGCAGCAGUGGGGAAUAUUGGACAAUGGGCGCAAGCCUGAUCCAGCCAUACCGCGUGGGUGAAGAAGGCCUUCGGGUUGUAAAGCCCUUUUGUUGGGAAAGAAAAGCAGCAGGUUAAUACCCCGCUGUUCUGACGGUACCCAAAGAAUAAGCACCGGCUAACUUCGUG
rnacentral:rRNA from 1 species